rnacentral:pre_miRNA from 1 species
AAGUUUCACAGAAGAGGAACAACAAGUUUUCUCUACAUUUUGUGCUGCAG